GCCACACAGAAACGACGCCAUUUUAGUUAAAAAAAUUUAGAUUUUGUGGCGUUUUCAUAAAACGCCACUAAUAAAAAUAACAAAAAAGUAUAAACCGACAGCAUUUUGCUUCCAUGGAUAAUUGUGGCGUUUUUCAAUAAAACGCCGGUAAACUUUAAUAUCAUUUAGCCUUUAUAUUUUUAUAAUAUUAUUAAUUAAUCAAAAUACUUAAUAUUAUUAACACUAAUUAAUCAAAACUCUAUACCUUAAACCAUUAAACUAUAUCCCUAUAACCUUAAUCCCUAAAGUAUAUCCCUUAAACCCUAAACUAUAUCCCCUAACCAUAAACCACAAAAUAAUAACCCCUAAGCCUUAACCACAAAAUGUAUAGAUUAAUCAUAACCUUAAACUAUAUCUCUUGAUCCUUAAACCACAAAAUAAUAACACUAAUUAAUCAAUACUCUGAACCUUAAACCAUUAAACUAUAUCCCCUACUAAAGUACCGGCCUAAACUAUAUCCCUUAAACCUUAAACCACAAAAUAAAAACCCCUAAGUAUUAACCCAUAACCCCUAACCCUUAACCCCUAACCCCUAACCCAUAACCCUUAAAUCAUAAACCCCGACCCUUAAACCAUAAUACAUAAACCUUAAAAUAGUAACUCAUAAACUUUAAACCCUUAAUCAUAUAACCUAAAUCGUAAACCCUAAACUUUUUAGCGGCGUUUUACCAAAAGCGCCGCUAAUGCUCUUAUUUUUAGCGGCGUUUUACCAAAAGCGC
rnacentral:lncRNA from 1 species